UCAAGAAAUUAACUAAGUGACUGUUUCCAGAUUCAGGGAACCUAGGUUGAAGAAAAACAUAAUAGGUAAUCCUGAGCCAAAUUUUUAUUACAAAAUAGGUGCAGAGACUCAAAGGGAACUAUCCGAUUAGAAANACUAUAAUANUUGGUAAUCGAUAUAAAUAAUANNNNNNNNUAUAAUUUAUUAUUAUAAAGUUNUGUNAGAUAAGGAUAAAGAUAGAGUCCNUUUUUACACGCUACANUCAGUUAGCAAUGAUNNAAAUCAUUGUAAAAAGAAAAUCCGUUGGCUUUUUAGACCGUGAGGGUUCAAGUCCCUCUACCCCCA
rnacentral:tRNA from 1 species